rnacentral:rRNA from 1 species
GAUGAACGCUGGCGGCGUGCCUAAUACAUGCAAGUCGAGCGAACGGACGAGAAGCUUGCUUCUCUGAUGUUAGCGGCGGACGGGUGAGUAACACGUGGAUAACCUACCUAUAAGACUGGGAUAACUUCGGGAAACCGGAGCUACUACCGGCUAAUAUUUUGAACCGCAUGGUUCAAAAGUGCAUGACGGUUUUGCUGUCACUUAUAGAUGGAUCCGUGCUGCAUUAGCUAGUUGGUAAGGUAACGGCAUACCAAGGCUACGAUGCGUAGCCGACCUGAGAGGGUGAUCGGCCACACUGGAACUGAGACACGGUCCAGACUCCUACGGGAGGCAGCAGUAGGGAAUCUUGCGCAAUGGGCGAAAGCCUGACGGAGCAACGCCGCGUGAGUGAUGAGGGUCUUCGGAUCGUAAAACUCUGUUAUUAGGAAAGAACAGAUGUGUAAGUAACUGUGCACAUCUUGACGGUACCUAAACAGAAAGCCACGGCUAACUACGUG